ACUGAAUUGUCACAUUGAUCUUGGACUUCUCAGCUUCCAGAACUAAUCCCAUCCAGGGUAUGACAUUGAACUUAGUCAUCACAUCUCUAUAGUGUCUUCUGGAUGGGAUUGAAAUCUGCUGUGAGUUUAGACCUUUAUGUUUCACAAGACUCCCUGUAUUGAGUUGAACAUGAAGACUCAUCUUUCCCAGUUCCCUAAUAAGAGUUCCCAGGCUUAAAGCUCUAUGAGAGGCAUCACAAGUAGAGAGCUGCAGCACUACAGCCUAUUUCUGGGACAUCCUUAAAGAAUGCUGGUGAAGGAAAAUCUUUUCUGUAGCCAGAACUUUGAACAGUAAACCUGAUUGUUCAUUUUGCCUGGAAGGGGAAAGGGCCUGAGGAGUUUGGAACUAAGACCCCUAGACAGCAGAGCCUAAGGGAGGAAUGACUCUACCAGGAGACAAAAUAAUGACUCUGUUAAAGUUGAGAUGGCCGGCUGCCUCAUACCUCUGAUUCAAAAGUAAAGGAGUUGCUGUACUGG
rnacentral:sRNA from 1 species